UGCUAAGUUUGAUGGCGACCGGCGCACGGGUGAGUAACACGUAUCCAACCUGCCGAUGACUCGGGGAUAGCCUUUCGAAAGAAAGAUUAAUACCCGAUGGCAUAGUUCUUCCGCAUGGUAGAACUAUUAAAGAAUUUCGGUCAUCGAUGGGGAUGCGUUCCAUUAGGUUGUUGGCGGGGUAACGGCCCACCAAGCCUUCGAUGGAUAGGGGUUCUGAGAGGAAGGUCCCCCACAUUGGAACUGAGACACGGUCCAAACUCCUACGGGAGGCAGCAGUGAGGAAUAUUGGUCAAUGGACGAGAGUCUGAACCAGCCAAGUAGCGUGAAGGAUGACUGCCCUAUGGGUUGUAAACUUCUUUUAUACGGGAAUAAAGUGAGGCACGCGUGCCUUUUUGUAUGUACCGUAUGAAUAAGGAUCGGCUAACUCCGUGCCAGCAGCCGCGGUAAUACGGAGGAUCCGAGCGUUAUCCGGAUUUAUUGGGUUUAAAAGGAGCGUAGGCGGACGCUUAAGUCAGUUGUGAAAGUUUGCGGCUCAACCGUAAAAUUGCAGUUGAUACUGGGUGUCUUGAGUACAGUAGAGGCAGGCGGAAUUCGUGGUGUAGCGGUGAAAUGCUUAGAUAUCACGAAGAACUCCGAUUGCGAAGGCAGCCUGCUGGACUGUAACUGACGCUGAUGCUCGAAAGUGUGGGUAUCAAACAGGAUUAGAUACCCUGGUAGUCCACACAGUAAACGAUGAAUACUCGCUGUUUGCGAUAUACAGUAAGCGGCCAAGCCGAAAGCGUUAAGUAUUCCACCUGGGGA
rnacentral:rRNA from 1 species